rnacentral:lncRNA from 1 species
UUUCUUGCACGACAUAUAUAUUUUCUGAGUUUUUUUAUGUGCGCUACCGUUUUCUAUGGUGCGGCUCAUUAGGCCUACGCCAGCACUACCCAAUAGGCCAACGCCAGCAAAAAGUGCCCUGUCUAGUAAAAAACCAGUAAGUCAGAUUCACUAUGAACUCACAUCGAACACCCUUUCUUCUUCGUUGCCCCUUCUCGACCAGUGCCACCACUUCCGCCCGACCACGCCGCUCUUCGCCGCCUUAACUGCAUGGCCGUCAUCAACUCCGGCAAAGGAGGUGAGAUCUUCCCUCUUGCCCUCCCCAAGCGCGUCUCCCUCCGGUGGCGGAUUAGAUCUAGAAAAUUUCUUUUGAUAGAUGGAGUAGAUGAUUGGUUUAUAUAUGAACGGAUAUGGUAACUGCGCAUCUCCCUCCGGUGGCGGAUCUGAGCUAGUUUAGUAGAAAUUGAUAUAUUUAGUAGAAAUGGAUAGAAUGUGUUAUGUGUAUAAUGGGAGUUUUGAUUGGUAGUUUCCUUAGAAAUGUGCACUGAAGAAAUCAGGGCAAGUCCUCAUGGCCAAAUUGUUUGGGCUGAUAAUUUGUUAUAACUAUCAUCCGGUUCCAGAAGAAAGUGAAAAUAGCAUUGGGUGUUAAAAUUCUGGCACUUGUCGAGCUUUUCUAUCAAUUGAUCCUCUAUAAAUUGGAAGGUUUGAAUACAAAGGCUUAUUCCUUAAUGACCCACUCAAGCAGGAUCAUGGUCAUUCAUAUUGUACAAUUUCUAUAGACCAACAUAUCUAGUUUGCUAUGCAAUUUGCUGUUGUAGGUCACCACAUGCUAUCUAGUCUGAUUAGUUCUAUACAUUGCAAUAUUUUAACUACUUUAAACUAGUGUCAAUAUUCAGUGAUAUGAAAUUGCAUAUUAUCUUGAUCGUAUACGCGAUAUGUUUGUAGGUCAUGGCCAAUUCUAGAGGCAACAACGAGUCGGUGUGCAAUGUGGACAUGGCCAACAAUGAAUUCUUAAACACUAUGGGUAUGUCAUCAAGACCGUGUAAGGGGAAAAUGAUGAGCUAAAGGUGGAGAUUAAAGAGCUACGCAAGGAGACUAUUCGGCGCGUUAAGGAGACUAAUUAGCUUAGGGACGAGAGGGAUAAGUUCAUCGAGGAUCGGGACAAAUUGAAGGAGGAGAGGAGACUCCUCAAGGCUGAGAGGAUUGACCGGAAGAUGGACAUAGAUCAUUUCAGAAGACAGGGGGAGGGGGAUAGAAAGAAGCUUCGCUAGCUGGCAUACUCCUUGAAGAAGAUUAGUUUUUUAAGUAGCUAGCUAGUUCAUCUUAUUAGUUGAUGUUGAUCGAGUAACUAGAGUACUUGAUGAGCAACUUUUGUGAAGUUUAAUAUCAACUUGUUAAGUUCAUGAGCCUCUUCUGUAAUGAUUAUCUAUUAGGUAAGUACCUAGUGUUGGAUAGUAUAUUAUGUUCAUUAGUAUCUAUUAAGUAAGUAGAUAGUGUUGAUGAGCAAUUUUUGUUAUUACCAAAAAACCAUUUGCCGGCGUUGAACAAGAAGGCACACCAGAGUUAAGAUGAACUUAGUGCUAGCGUUGGACUGGUGACACGCCAGCACCAUGUAGGAUACUUCUGACGUGUCCCCCAACGCCACCACUAUUUUUUAGUAAUGGCG